rnacentral:rRNA from 1 species
CCUACGGGGGGCAGCAGUAGGGAAUAUUGCACAAUGGGGGAAACCCUGAUGCAGCGAUGCCGCGUGGAGGAAGAAGGUUUUCGGAUUGUAAACUCCUUUUAUCAGGGACGAUAAUGACGGUACCUGAAGAAAAAGCUCCGGCUAACUCCGUGCCAGCAGCCGCGGUAAUACGGAGGAUGCGAGCGUUAUCCGGAUUUAUUGGGUUUAAAGGGUGCGCAGGCGGAAUGUCAAGUCAGCGGUAAAAUUUCGGGGCUCAACCCCGUCGUGCCGUUGAAACUGGCGUUCUUGAGUGAGCGAGAAGUAUGCGGAAUGCGUGGUGUAGCGGUGAAAUGCAUAGAUAUCACGCAGAACUCCGAUUGCGAAGGCAGCAUACCGGCGCUCAACUGACGCUCAUGCACGAAAGCGUGGGUAUCGAACAGGAUUAGAUACCCUUGUAGUC